GUUAAACUUGAAGAAAUCAAUUACAUGGAAUAUUAUGCUACUUAGAUUUCGAGUUCAAAAGAACAAAUUGGAAUUGUGACGCAUGUGUAUCAUCACUAACACACUGACCAAUUCAAAAGCACCGUAUAUCAAAUCUUAAAGGGUUACAGAUUGUGGUUGAAGCUUUAGGAUAUCAUAGACUGGCGCCAAUUUGUGGUACUUUAAUUUUAUUCUUCUGUACAGAACACAGCUUUAUGUUAAGCUAUCUGGCAGUUCUAGCUCCAAUCCGCAUGCUACUCUACUCGAUGAAAGAAAGGAAAUAACUCCGUAACGGAAUCGACCAAUAUACGGAGUUUGAAUUCCAUAAGCUACGUUUUUCUUUCAAGAAGUUAUCAACGGAAUAACAACGGAUGUGCACGAAUUUUCAAUAUUUUGGAUAUCCGAUAUACUAUUUAUAAAAUUUUUGGAUAUGAAUUUGUUAUAGAUUCAGUGUUGGAAACUAUCGUAUUUGAUGAAUAUUUCCAUGGAAACAAAGCAAUUUUCUAUUUAUUAUGCCAUCUUCAACUGUUUGAAGUUAAAUCUUUUUCUUUGAUCUGGGCUUUGAGGAUCAACUUGAUUUUUACUGAAACAAAUCCUAUUUAAUACUAAAUUGAUUUUUGUAUGUAUCAAAACAGUAUGAUAUGCAUUGAUCGAAACAGAGAAAGCUGAUAUGUGUUUAUACUUUCGUUAGUGAAAAGGGAUAUAAAGUGAAAACAUUCUGAGAUAAAAGAUUGCAUAAAAUUCAGUUGUCUCUGAUAAUUGAAACGAUACAAAUAAAACCAAACAAAACAAAUUACACAAGAGAAAGAGUAUAAAAAAUCAUACAAGUAAGGAUACUUAGUCUCAGAGUGGUAUAAAGGAAUAUUUUUAUCUCGGGUGGAAAGUAGCUGCAUGUGGAUCGAUCAUACUCUGACCAGUUCGUUUAUAGUUAAGCCAUUCGUUUGAUGAUCUACAUAUUAUGACUACCGUUUAAAGAAACUAGGCAAUUUAAACAACAUAACAGUCCCUUGGAUAUCAGAAUUUGAGUAUUUUGAGAGUUUGUUCAUUUCAAAUUUUUGAAACUUUUCUGCUGUAAACAUACGUAUAUCGAUAUACCAACUUGUCUGCAGUAAAUAUACGUAUAUCGAUAUACAAACUUUUAUGAAGUGAAUAUACGCAUAUGAUAUACAAACUUGUCUACAGUAAAAAUACGUUUAGCGAUAUACAAACUUGUCUGCAAUAAAUAUAGGUAUAUCGCUAUAAAAUCAGUAUGUCCGGUCCAUGGAAAGCACUGAAAAAUGUCAAGAAAGCGGUGUCGAAGAAGCCAGUGGCGAAGAAAAAAGCUG
rnacentral:lncRNA from 1 species